rnacentral:misc_RNA from 1 species
ACACCUCAACUCUCAUGGUUUGCCGUGAUGAGCUUGGACUUUGGGGGUCUUGCUGGCCUGCGGUCAGCUCCUCUAAAAUGAAUCAGCUUUCCAGUGUUUGGUGGCGUCACAGGUGUGAUAACUAUCUACGCUUGUGGUUCUCUGCCAGGUAACCUUCAGCGAUGGGGGUUCGCUGGGGCUCACAAACGUCUCUCCUCAGCGAGGACAGCUUUAAC